GACGAACGCUGGCGGCGUGCCUAAUACAUGCGAGUAGAACGCACAGUUUAUACCGUAGCUUGCUCCACCAUAGACUGUGAGUUGCGAACGGGUGAGUAACGCGUAGGUAACCUGCCUGGUAGCGGGGGAUAACUAUUGGAAACGAUAGCUAAUACCGCAUAAUAUUAAUUAUUGCAUGAUAAUUAAUUGAAAGGUGCAAUUGCACCACUACCAGAUGGACCUGCGUUGUAUUAGCUAGUAGGUGAGGUAACGGCUCACCUAGGCGACGAUACAUAGCCGACCUGAGAGGGUGAUCGGCCACACUGGGACUGAGACACGGCCCAGACUCCUGCGGGAGGCAGCAGGAGGGAAUCUUCGGAAAUUGACGAAAGUCUGACCGAGCAACGCCGCGGGAGUGAAGAAGGAUUUCGGAUCGUAAAGCGCUGUUGUAAGGGAAGAACGGGUGUGAGAGUGGAAAGUUCACACUGUGACGGUAUCUUAGCAGAAAGGGACGGCUAACUACGUG
rnacentral:rRNA from 1 species